GUCUCCUUUUUUUAAUCAGUGAAACUAAUCUCCCCGUGAAGAAGCGGGGAUAUUCUUAUAAGACGAGAAGACCCCAUGGAGCUUUAAACCCAACUAUAUACCUAAUUAUUAUAACCACUUAAUCCCUUAGCACUAAUAUACUUGGUUUUAGGUUGGGGCGACCACGGAGUAUAAUUAAACCUCCACAAUGAACGAAACAACCCUUCUUAUCUAAGAGUCACACCUCUAAGAAUUAGCACACUAACAUAAAAUGACCCAUUAUUGAUCAACGAACCAAGUUACCCUGGGGAUAACAGCGCAAUCCAUUUUAAGAGCCCCUAUCGACAAAU
rnacentral:rRNA from 1 species